GAAAGUUUAGGAACUGUUUUGGCCUCACAAAAGCUCAAGGAUACAAGAAAGACCAAGCAGCUAUUUAGAGAGGAUGAAAGAGGAGCAAGCAAGAAACCCUGCAAAUAGCAACGUAAAGAAGGUAUCCGUGCCUGAAAACGUUUGCUUAGGUCAAGUCCGAGCUGUGAAACAGAAGUUCUUUCAUGUGUUCAUGAAUCCCCAGAUGUGGCACUAUUUCACUUGUUUUGUGCAUCCCACGUCCUCCUCCUUACCCCUGGCCUGUCUGCAACAGCCCUGAGUCAGAGAGCUGCUCCACCAGGCAGCAUUACCAUCGCCCACGGGUUAGGAGAGGACCGUCCUUGCUCCAGGUCUGGAUUGUAUGGCUUCUCCUGUGCCCUGAAGAGCACUGCCAGUGGCCAAGGUCAAGGUCAGCCUCUGUGGAACAUGGUUCUCUGUUUCUCGGUCUACUGUCAUGAUGGAGUGGCAGAAAAAAUAAGGCAGACACCUCGCUAUUCCCUAAAUUGUCUUCCUCUCUUCUCCUCCUCCCCAGGCACCUCUGCAUCAAAACACUCCUCUCUCCUCCUUCAAAUAAAAAAGGAAAAGACACCAGAUGCCCACACGCUUAAUAAGCAAUGGAGUAGGGAAAGAAAGGGAGGAGUCUCCUCUUCUCCCCUGAGAUAUCUGAACUCUAGCUUCUGCCCAGCUAAAAUUUUCUAUCUCACACACACACCCCCACACACACUCUGACAUGCAAUAAAGUAUCAACAGUAGUUUUUUAGUGGG